CUAGCUGGUCUGAGAGGAUGACCAGCCACACUGGAACUGAGACACGGUCCAGACUCCUACGGGAGGCAGCAGUGGGGAAUAUUGCACAAUGGGCGCAAGCCUGAUGCAGCCAUGCCGCGUGUAUGAAGAAGGCCUUCGGGUUGUAAAGUACUUUCAGCGGGGAGGAAGGGAGUAAAGUUAAUACCUUUGCUCAUUGACGUUACCCGCAGAAGAAGCACCGGCUAACUCCGUGCCAGCAGCCGCGGUAAUACGGAGGGUGCAAGCGUUAAUCGGAAUUACUGGGCGUAAAGCGCACGCAGGCGGUUUGUUAAGUCAGAUGUGAAAUCCCCGGGCUCAACCUGGGAACUGCAU
rnacentral:rRNA from 1 species